UACGGAGGGUGCGAGCGUUAAUCGGAAUUACUGGGCGUAAAGCGCGCGUAGGCGGCCCGGUCAGUCUGGCGUGAAAUCCCCGGGCUCAACCUGGGAACUGCGCUGGAUACUGCCGGGCUGGAGUGUGGGAGAGGGGCGUGGAAUUUCCGGUGUAGCAGUGAAAUGCGUAGAGAUCGGAAGGAACACCAGUGGCGAAGGCGGCGCCCUGGACCAACACUGACGCUGAGGUGCGAAAGCGUGGGGAGCAAACAGG
rnacentral:rRNA from 1 species